ensembl:misc_RNA Y_RNA Y RNA
GGCUGCUCUGAGUGCAUGGUGUCGACAACUAAUUGAUCACAACUAGUUACAGAUUUCUUUGUUCCUCCUUCACUUCCACUGCUUCACUUGGCUAGCCUAAA